GCGGCGGGACGCGGCAGAGGCCAGCUGGAGGCGGCGGCCCGGGACGCGGCGGCAGCUGGGCGGCGGCCGGGAGGAGGAGGCUGGAGCUGCGUCGCGGCUGUGGCACCGCCGCCCCUCGCGCGGACACGCCUCGCGCCCCGCCCUAGACCCGCCCCCGGCAGCAGGCGCGGGGCUGCCCGGCCCGGGGCGGGCGCGGAGUUGUCAGCGUCGGCGCAAGGGAGGCGCCCGAGGCACAGCCCUGGCGGCACGGCGGGUGUGGUGUGCACCCUGGUGCCGGAGGAGAAGGGCACAGUGGGCCGGCCAGCAGUCCCCCGGUUCCGCAGCGGUUCACUGGUUUGUGCUUCCCACUCUGCCCUCCGUGAGGCGCGAAGACGCCAGUAGCCUGGCAUUGAGACCUUCCAGAACUUACCACUGAGCAAAAGGAGCUGCAAAGAAAAUAGAUCAUCAGUGUUGUUCUGAGGGACUUGACAAGGUGACCUUUGAGGGUCCCUGCCAACCUAAUGCAUUCUAUGAUCUGUGUCGUUAACACAAAUCUAAAGGAGCAGUAAGUAGCUAUCCGCUUAACUUUAGACACUGGAAUGUGGAGGUACUUGGAACUGUAAAAACCAGAGCAAAUUUUCCAUAAACAACUGUAAUCGGGAUUUACUGUCAGCACCAGUGUCUUACACUAUCAGCAGCACUUCCCUUAACCCAAAUACAUACCAGUUCUCAUGUUUAUUAGCAACCUAAGCUAGAAGAAUUGGAAAACCAGCAUUUCCUCUCAAAAACAUUACGUACCUCUUCCUAUCAACACAAAGGAGACUUCUUGAUCGUAAUACACCUCUACUCAAACUCAGCCAGAAAAAUUAACUUCUUACAGCUUCAAGCACAGCUCAGAGGCAGAACUCAGUCAUUACUAUUUUCAAUCAAGGAUUCCCAAACUGCAGCAUGGAAAAUAAUUCAGGGUGAGAUCUAUAGCAAGUAUAUAUCCAACCCACCCUUCAAACCAGGCAGAGCUGACAGGCAGGGGGGCUGGCAAAGAACCAUCUCCCUGCAAGACCAUGCCAUUCCCUGUGAUGGUGGUGUCUAAACAAGCCUCAGUGGGUAGCUUCUGCUCUGUUCAGUUGCGGUGUCCUCUGUUGAAUGGAUUCAGCCACUUGCUGUAGAAAGCUGGUCAUGAAUUAGAAACUCAGGAGUUAUGGCAAGGCCACAAUUUCAGAAUCAACAUUUUACUUGGAAUUGUGUCUUCAAAACUACUCACAUCUUUGGUAAAUGUUGAUGUAUUUUAAGCAACAGAACUUGGAAUGACCUGUCUCAUAACUGUGUUCCUACAGUGCUCUUCAAAAUGUUGCUGACACCUCUCUGCACCCUGAGCUGUAUGCAUUUUGCCUGGGAGUUUUGGAAAAGAUUCUGAAGCUUGAGAGAAGGGUGAAUUAUAUUCAUAAAACAAGGGUGCCACUGACCUUUCAGCACGAGAGAAUAGAUGUGAAUCACAGACCCGAGACUCAUCUAAAGGAACACUGUGAAAACACAUGGGAUGAAAGGCUCCAAAGGCUUUACAAUUUGUAUCUGGAUGGGAGAGAGCAGAAAGAAAGAGAACGUGGGAAAAAGAAGAAUGAAUAAAGGAUCCUGCUGUUUACCUCA